UGGGAUGAGCCAAGCCCGUGCA
rnacentral:snRNA from 1 species